rnacentral:tRNA from 1 species
GCCUUUGUAGUAUAAGAUAAUACACUGGUCUUGUAAACCAGAAAUGGAGAAUUAAUCCUCCCUAAGACA